GAGAGCUUUCCCGUGGGCCGAGCCCGUUGGGACUCGCUGGCACGCCGCUCGUGCCGGCCCUGACACAUUCGACAAGCGGCGCCGUAACGGGAAGCAACGCGCGGCUGGGGACCUCGCUUGGUGGAAACGCACUCGAGCUGUUCUGCAGCGCGCGAGACGACGACAAGCACGACGACGUGAUCUCUUCUCUUGGACGUCAAACUGCAAGAAAGAGAGAAGAUAACAACACCCACGCGUACUUGGAACGUAUAUACAUAUAUACAUAUACGCGCGUAUACAUACGCAUACACGUACACAUACACAUACACGUACACGUACACACAACGUCAGCAUAUAUAUAUAUAUAUAUAUGUGUGUAUAUGUAUAUGCAUACACGUGAACACGUAACAUACGACGAUCCGAUCGUCGAUUUGACUUCUCAGAACGAUCAUCAUACGUGUUCCUCUUCGGUCGUUGUCGUUCGUUCUGAAGGCGACGAGGAAGACGACGAGGACAGCGAAAUGGAGUAAGAAUUUCGUAAGCAUCGACAAGAAGAGGAAGAAGAAAUACUGAGAGACGGAAGGAAGGAAGUCAGGAAGUAAAGAAAAUAUCGAGUGAGAGGAGUAAUAAUAGUGGUGUUUCUAAUACGAACGAACGAAGGAAGAGUAUCGACGUGAGAUAGAAAGAUAAAAAGAGAAAGAGAGAGAGAGAGAGCAAGAGAGAGAAAGAGAGAGAGACAGAAAGUAAGAGGAAAGAAAGAGUGAGUUUUCGCGGUUAUCGAGUGCUUUUUUGUGAAAGACACGUGAGGGAGUGCGCGAUCGAUCGUACUCUCGUGGGGGGAACGGGGGGGGAGCUGCCAAGCGAAUGAUCGCGCGCAGCCACGCGGUUUUCGUACUUUUCUACUCUCUUUUAUCAAAGAGAAAGACGACGACGACGACAAUAAUAACAACAACAACAACAACAACAACAACGAGAAGGAGAAGAAAAUAACAAAAAUUUAAGUUAAACGCAGAAAAAGAUAUAUAUAUAUAUAUAUACAUAUAUAUAAAGAGAGAGAGAGAGAGAGAGAGAGAUUCGUCACGUGGGAAGGAUUGGAUAAAUAUCGAUGAACUUAAAAAAGGAAUCGAUAAGGGGAAUCGUUUGGAAUUUGUCGAUCUCCGUGGGUGGAGGAUUAAAUAUUUAAAAAAUAGUUAUUUCUCUCGUCGUUUAUUUUUUACGGUGAUAUUGAAGAGUGAGAAAGAAUAGAAGAAGGAAGGCUGUUGCCGCAGGAGAUACCUUACGGCUUCACAACGCGGUCCGACGAGUGGAGCGGUCUCCUGCCCAGCUCCACGAUCGUGGGUGCUGGGGGGUCGCCAUGGCUCGGCUUGGGUGCCGCCGGUGGCACCGGUGCCACCACCGGAGGCGGAAGUCCCGUCGAACUCGAGGGACAUUGGGGACGGAAGCUCUACGGUGCGAGCGUUGCCCCACCACCCCCGCCACCUCAUCACCACCCACGCGCUCCUCUCGUUUUCGCGCCUCAGGACAUGAGGCAAAUACUCAAGGAGGAACCUGUGCCACGUGCCUGGCCUCAGCCCGCCAUUGCCGAUAACGGAACGGUUGGCGUCGCAAAGGCGCAUUUCGAGAAACAACCACCGAGCAAUCUCAGAAAGAGUAAUUUCUUUCAUUUCGUCAUAGCACUUUACGAUCGACACGAUCAGCCGAUCGAGAUCGAAAGAACGUCAUUCAUGGGAUUCGUCGAGAAAGAUCAGGAAUCCGAGGGACAAAAGACGAACAAUGGUAUUCAAUACAGUUUGCAUCUGCUUUAUUCGAACGGAGUGAGGCAGGUGCAAAACAUCUUCGUCAGGCUUAUCGACUCUGCGACGAAACAGGCGAUCAUGUACGAAGGACAAGACAAGAAUCCUGAAAUGUGCCGUGUCUUACUGACGCACGAGGUAAUGUGCAGUCGGUGUUGCGAUAAGAAGAGCUGCGGUAACAGAAAUGAGACACCGAGCGAUCCAGUGAUCAUCGAUCGAUUCUUCCUCAAGUUCUUUCUCAAGUGCAACCAAAACUGCCUUAAGAAUGCCGGCAAUCCGCGUGACAUGAGACGAUUUCAGGUGAUCAUAUCGACGCAAGUAGGAGUGGAAGGUCCAUGGUUAGCGGUAUCCGAUAACAUGUUUGUCCACAACAAUAGUAAACACGGACGCAGAGCGAAACGAUUGGACCCCAGUGAUCCUGGCGAGUACAACAGUUUGUAUCAACCCAUACCACUUCAGACACCCUGCAUAAAGGCGAUAUCGCCGAACGAGGGUUGGACGACGGGUGGAUCAACCGUAAUAAUCAUAGGCGAGAACUUUUUCGACGGGCUUCAAGUUGUUUUUGGAUCUAUGCUGGUUUGGAGUGAGAUAAUUACUCCGAACGCGAUCAGGGUACAGACGCCGCAUAGAGAGAUACCGGGUGUUGUCGAAGUAACGCUUUCAUACAAAAGCAAACAAUUUUGUAAGGGGGCACCUGGCCGAUUCGUUUACGUCUCUUUAAACGAGCCAACGAUCGACUAUGGUUUUCAAAGGUUACAAAAAUUAAUUCCACGACAUCCAGGGGAUCCGGAAAAAUUGCCAAAAGAAAUAAUAUUGAAACGAGCAGCCGAUUUAGCGGAAGCAUUGUACAGUAUGCCAAGGAGCGGAAACGCGGGUAUAGCGGGGGCGUCGAGGAGUCCAGGAGCGGGACACCCACCGGCGCCCCCGACUUCGAGUUCGGCGACAGCGUUCAACUCGUAUACAGGACAACUCGCCGUGACGGUGCAAGAGAAUGGUAGUGCUACAAAGUGGACGGACGACGGUAGUUCCGUGACGACAGGAGCCGCGGCAGGUGGCGGAGGGGGCGGUGGGAGCGUAGGGGGCAGCGUAGGUGGUAGCGUCGGGGGUACGGCCGAUGCUUACAGACAAAGCAGCAGCGCCAGUCCGCGAGGGGUUGUAACCGGUGGUGGUUAUUGCGGAAGUUCGGCUAGCACGCCGCACAGCCACAGCACCAACGGCAGCUAUUCCGUUGCGAAUCCAUACACUGGAAGUCCGACUCUUUACACGUCGCCGCACGAACAAUACGGCAUUUUCUAUACGUCCGGGGACGGGAGUGCGUUCGCCCCUGUAGUACGACCACCGACCACCUCAGUCCCACCGCACUGGUCCACACAGCACCACCUCGCUACAGCCGCCCAGUAACCGCUAACCGUCCACCAUCACCACCACCACCAUCACCAUCACAACUACCCUACGCGCUGAGAUUAAAGAGUUAUCAGAGAGACAUGCACGAACGACGAGACUCGAGAAUUGGGCAUGUUGUAGGAUUAGGAGAGGUGGUCGGCUCACCGUUCAACAUGAAUCCAUUUGUGUUGCCAACAUGCAGCCAGGGCUACUCGACCACCGGCAGUCCGCUACUCUCGUCGAACGCCAAAUAGUGUUAUGAGAUGUAAAACUACGAUGGAUGAAGGGGCUGAGGUGCCAUCAUGGGAAGAGGACUUUGCGUGCCGAGAGAUAAGGACGGAUCAAGCGCGAUGUCCCCUUUCCUAUUAACCUCCUCCUAUUUCUAUUUCCUUUCUUUUCUCUUUUUCACGCACCAUCUCUCUCUUUCUCUAUCUCUUUCUCUCUCUCUCUCUCUCUCUCUCUUUCUCUCUCUCUCUCUCUUUCUCUCUCUCUCUCUCUCUCUCUCUCUCUCUCUCUGUCUUUCUCCCUUUUUCUCUCACAAACAACUUAUUUCUCAAGUGGACAAAUAACGAUAAAUCAAUCGCGUACGAUUUCCGUCGUAAGAGUCAAAGUAUCUCUCGACGGCGCAAAGAAUUAUUUUAUGAUCGAAAAAAUUCUCGAAUUUAUUUUUUCUUUUCUCUUUUUCUUUCUUUCUUUCGUUUUUCUUUUUUUUUUUUUUUUUUUUCUUUUCUUCUAUCUUCUUAACUUUAUUUCUUUUACGAUCGUGAUAUAAUUAACGACGAAUCAUACAUAUCGUACAACGAGAUAUGGUGUCACAACGAUGGAAUAACAUCGACGUAUAAAGAUUUGAUUUUAUUAUCUACUUUUUGACUUUAAUAAGAGAUAUUAUCUCAUUUCGAUUUUAUUAGCUCUUUUCGAUUUCUCGUCUUUUUCCUUUCUUUUUUUUUUCUUCUUCUUUUUUCUCGUUUUUCCAUUUAUAUACAACUUUUGUUAUAAUGUUCGCAAAUCAAUGCGAACGAAGGAUUAAUCGAUUGAAAAAAAAUUUGUUGCAUUCGAACGUCAUUGAGAGAUAUUCAACGAUACACGUAUCUAUGUAUAUCUAUGAAUGCAAACGUUUAAAUGAAAAAGUAUUGUGACACCAUUAUAAGGGACAUAUCGCUUAGCGGUUGAGCAAACAGACUCGAUAGUUUUUAGAGAGCAUUUUCGAAUUGAACAAAAUUUUAUCCUCCUAGACCCCCUUUAUCCAAUUGAUCCUUUUACUCCAUCCCCCACCCCCAACCCCCACCCACCAUCCUCACCUCAUAUCUUCCCUAUAACGCUCCGAACACCCACCCACUCACGCCUACGUUUUAAAAGACUAACCGACUUAUCUCGCCUAGAUAGAAUUGAUAUUUAACAUAUUGUAAUUUGUAAAUUAUCUGUAAAUAUUGUUGCGAUGUACAAAAAGACAAAACUAUUUGCGAUAGCUCGAGCGAGCGAGACGAUUAUUAAAAUGCGAUAAUAUAGGAAAAGGUUAUAUAGGAUUGUAAAUAUUAUAUCGUAGAGAGAGAAAAAAAAAAAAAAGAAAAAGAAAAAAAGAAAAAAAAAAUAAAGAAAAAAAAAAGAAAAAAAAAAAAAAGGCCCGUAGCUUAUCCGUAUUAUAAUUGUACUUAACAACGCCAUCCAAUUUUUUAACGAACCUAUCGGCGAUCGAGCGCGAAAUUUGAUUUUCGCGUUUCGCUCUUCGAUCCUCAAA